rnacentral:rRNA from 1 species
AGCAGCCGCGGUAAUUCCAGCUCCAAUAGCGUAUAUUAAAGUUGUUGCAGUUAAAAAGCUCGUAGUUGAACUUCGGGGUUUACCCAUUGGUCAGGCUUAAUUGUCUGUACUGGUGAGAUAAAUCUCUACCUUCUGAGGAACUUUCAUGUCAUUAAUUUGGUGUAAUUGGAAAUCAGGACUGUUACUUCGAAAAAUUAGAGUGUUUAAAGCAGGCUAAACGUCUGAAUACAUUAGCAUGGAAUAAUGAAAUAGGACGGACUGAUUCUAUUUCGUUGGUUUCUAGGAUCACCGUAAUGAUUAAUAGGGAUAGUUGGGGGCAUUAGUAUUCAAUUGUCAGAGGUGAAAUUCUUGGAUUUAUUGAAGACUAACUACUGCGAAAGCAUUUGCCAAGGAUGUUUUCAUUAAUC